rnacentral:lncRNA from 1 species
AUGCCUAAGCUGGCAGAGUGGGCAGAAAUAGAAAUUUCGGAUGGAAGUGAAGUGAAGCUAUUUCCUCGCCUCCAACAUUUGAAAAUUUAUGAUUGCGAGCAAUUGAUGAGUGUUCCAAGUCAUGUCUCGUCAUGCCUUGAAGAAUUGAUAAUUGAUGAGAUCGGUGUGGAAUGUCUGCCAGCUGAUUGGUUAUUGAGUAACAGCGAGACUCUCUCUUAUUUGUAGAUAAGAGAGUGCCCGAAUUUGAGAGAAAUAUCAGAUAGGUGGGGAGAAGAAGAAUCAGAAGGAAGAAGCUUCACAAUCACAUCCCUCCCUAUAUUCCCUCGUCUAACAGAUUUGAUAAUCAAAGCGUUCCUAAGUUAAGUUUGGAGACUGUGGAUGCAAUGCGGCGCCUCGAAGUUGAUGGAUACAAAUACAUUGACCCGUGACGGUGAGUAUCAAUAUCUUUUGCUAGAAACAGUUGUAUGUGUAUUUUAUUUGAAAAUGAAAUUCUAAUUAUUAGAAAUUGAAGUAGCCUACUAAAAUCUAUUAUCUUAUUUUAUGGAGUUUCUAAUUCACUUGCUCUUCUUAGUUUGGGGAUUGAGAUUCAUACCACACUUGAUUAUAUUUUUAUAUAUUUUUCUCUAAUUUCAACUUUGAAUGCUUUUGUUUAAUUUUGUGAUUAUUAAUUGGGCUUCAUUCCAUCUAAUUAGGGUAUAUAAUUAUUUUUAUCAAUUAAUUAGUUAAUAAUAGGUUGAAAUUUUUUAAAUUAUGGUAUAUAAUUUUAUAAAAAUUUAAUAUUUUGAAAUAAAUAUUGAGAAUAAUUCAUAGUAUUAUAAUUAUAUUUUUAUAAAAAAUAUUAUUAAAAUAAUAGAUAUAAGAAUGCAAUAUAGUGACGUACAUAAAAUUGUGGGACCAUCAAUCUCAUCCCUUAGUUUGGUGCUCCCACUUCAUCUCAAUACGCUUAAACAUGCAAUAUAUAGGAGAGUAAUUAUUUUGAGUUUGUUUACUAUAUUUUUACAGCGACUCGUCAUCUUAGCUUUUUUUCCAUUAAUUCUUUUUUGCGUUGAUACAGUUAAUCCCGAGGAACCUGAAAUGUGUGUAAUUCAGUGAAGCAGGCGAUCUAGUGAAGAAGGAAUAAGUGAGUAUCCAUUUUCCCCAUGAUAACUUGCUCAAGCUCAACCUCUUUUCAUAAUUUUUUUUGUAAUUCCAUAUCUAUUCUUUGUUUAAACUUUAUUUGAUAGGAUUAUUAUAUCAAGGGUUGAAGAAGAUGCAUGUUUGGAUACCAAUUUGUUUCACAAUUGAUAUGAUUCUCAAAGACUCAAAUUAACUUUAUUAAUCAUUGUGUCUAAACUAAGGAUUCACAUCAUUAUUUAUGCCCAUAGACACAAAAGUGGUAUUACUUAAUGCUAAAAUGUGAAAUUCACAACCAAGCUUAUGUAAGGAGAUCAAAUCAUUUAGCUCACUCGCCAUUUCCUAUUUUAUGUUAAUUUUAUGUUAUAACAAGUUGUAGUGUUUACCAGCUCUAAGGUUGCAAUUGCGAAUUAGGAAACACAAAACAAAACAAAACAAAUACCAAACAUCUUCCAUAUCCAUUUUGAACAUUACUUUUUAUAAGGCUCGUUUGUUUAUAUAGUUAUAAAGUUGAUAGUUUUCAGCUAAGUAUAUUGUACUCCCUCUCUUGAAACAUCUUCCUUUAUUUCAUUUUCGUUCGUCCUCGAACAUCUACCUAGUCCACUUUUGUAAAUUCCAUAAUUAUUAUCUUUCAAUUUUCACAUAUUUACACUAAUUGCACAAAUCACCCACCACUUUUCAUUUUAAUUGGUCUCUAUUAUCACUUUUUAUAUAUCACUUUUUCUAAUAUAUGAGAUCUAUUUUCUACUCAUCAAAUAAACAGCCAACUUUUAUUAAAACUCGUGUUGCCUCCCAUUCGAAAGAUGUUUUAGGGCCAGAGAGUGUAUGGUAUUAAUAUUAUGUUUGAUUAAAUGUAUUACAUUAUCUGUUUUAUAAAUCUAUAUAAUAUAAAAAAUGGAGUUUCCCCCCCCCCGCUUUUUCUUUCUCCUCUCCCAUCAUUUUUUUAGGGAUAUUCGCGGUAAAAUACACGAACUUUCAGCAAAUUCUGAUUUUUCCCAUAAUCUUUAAAAUUUGAAAAGAAAUACUAAACCUCGAUUUUUACUGAAUUUUCCUAUUGGUAUAAAAUACUCCCACAUUGAAACUGAUUUUUUAGGGCUUUCACUUAGAUUUGUUGAUACCUAAGCUGAUGCAUCGACUUUAUUAUGCCACAUUUAUUAUCCGUCAUGCUUAAGUAUCAAAAAAUCUAAGUCAAAAGCCCUAAGAAAAAAUUGAAAGGUGGUACUCCCUCUGUCCCACUAAAAGUGGCCCGUAUUCCAUUUUGGGCCGUCCCACUAUAAGUGGCCUAUUUCCGUAAAUUGAAAAAUUUAACCCUUAAAAAGGUGUAGGCACUACCACUUUUAACCAAUUUACACCUCCUUAAUUCUUGCUACAAGAAUUAGUUUUUGUUGGAUUUGAAGUAUUGGAGGCUCUUCAACGUUUCCACAAUAAUCCCAUGAUCAAGGAUACUGCAAAAGCAUGUGUCAGCAAUGAAGUCAAGAAUGCUGUUGUGGAAUCUUCAGAAAUGGCUUCAAAAUAUUUGUAAUAACUGGGAUUUUGUUGGGGAGAUGUCUAAAAUAUAUACAAUAGAAACGAUGAAAAUCUAAAGUAUCUUUUUCUGGAAAAGAGGUAAUAUGAAGUUUAGUUUAAUCCCUUAGUUCUUGGCUGAUUUGUUGUCUAAUUUUCAGGUGGAUUUAGAGGGGCAUUUUGAGUAUCUGUCAAGUCUUAUUGAGCCAUUUUGAGCUUUGUUAUAGAUUUUCUGAUAGAAUCAAAUAAAUUUCAAGAUGACAUGAGGAUAUAUGAGAUCCAUUAAUAUAAUUUCUGUAGAACUAAAUGUCAAUCUCUCUGGCAUGUGUCUAUUGUUCUGUUUUUAUGAUUUUUUCUUCAAAAAGCUAUUAAUUUUAUUUCAUUAUAUCCAACACUCCAGAGUCCAGCCUUAUUGCAGUUUGUUUAUUGUUAGUUACAUCCCAUCAAACUUGAACUAUCUGUUAUUGUUUUAACUCCAAACAUUGCUGCCCAUGAUUGCAGUGAGUAUGAUUCUAAAGCCAUGGCAGAGAUAGGGGAGCUUCUGAGGAGCAUGGAGGCGAGGCGGCCUCAAUUAGUGGCGCUAACGAGCUUGCUCGUGGGGAAGAACGACGACAGUUUAGUUGUUGAGUCUGAAGAGAAGGAUGAUGACAAAAAUUAAGACAGCAAUAUUGAAGAUGGAAGUUGUGGAAGUUGAACCCAAUCCCAGCAACAAGGGAAAUGGAAAAAGGCACACCAAUGAAAGAAUGUUGAGCAUAUUAUAUAACAUUAAAACAAAGUUUGAAUUUGCAUCACCAUUAGAAUCUUGCAAGUAAGUUCUAACUUGCAGGACAGAAUAUUUGGUUUUAAUUUAUCAAUUGCGUGCUUUUAUAAACAGACGAAAGUAGUAAUAAGACUUUCAGUUUGCAUGGACGAAGGUAGUAAUAAAACUACAAUUUGAAUUUGCUGACGACUGCAUUUUGUUAGUGUACAUGUAUUCACCUUCCAUGAAUUCACUGCUUAUUUGUUGAUUUACCAUAGUAUAGACACAGAGUUGUCAGCUGAAAAGAGAGAGAGGAUUUGAUAGUGCAGCAGCUUGAACUUAGCUUGAUAACUGCGUUUCGUGCUCUUGUUGCUGAUUUUGUAAUCUGUUCUUGUCUCCUGUUUUCGUAGUGAAUUUUUCCUUACUUUGCGACCGUGGAUGUGGAUCUGUAAAGAUCGAACCACGUAAACCCUUGAGUCUCUUUUAUGGUACUUUCAUCAAACAUAUGUUGUGCAGUUCACAUUUUACAGAGUUUUCAAGGUAAAAUCACUAUAAACUUCAGAUUUUGCUUAGUCUCCUCACUCAAACACUUCGUGCUACCAUAGUCAACAAACUAAUACAAAUGAAAAGUCCAAAAAUAAUUAAGAAGAUCUAAUUCCAUACACCACAAGCAUUGCAGUCCCAAACUUCAUUAAACAAAUCUUGAACUUCAAAAUUUUCAGUUCCACCUUCAAAGCAAAAAAUGCACUGAAAUCUUACCAAAAUAAAUUGUUGCGUGCUACGUGAAUUGCGUGAAAACAAGUUAAGUGGAUUCGUGGCUUUAUACAUACACAACCACACAACCCACUGUAAUAACUAUUUAAUAGAUUUCAUGGCUCAAUGAAAAUUCAACAAAGCGACGAGAGAAGUGAUGCUGAGAAAGAUUGAGUAUUGGUAAUUAAAUAAAAAUUAAUGGAUAAAAUUAGGCCAACUUCAAAUUCUUCCGUUCCACCUUCAAUUUUCCAGUUUCUCCUUCAAUGGCGUAGGAAAGAUAGAAAUCUGUAAACAAAAAAUUGAGUUUCAAACCGUGGACUUAGAUUUUCAAGAUUUUAAAUGAGUAGGUGCUAAAACGACGUCGUUUCUAGUCCAUGCCGUUAAAUAUGCCACCUCAUCCAAGUCUGGUGCCACGUCAUUUAAAAGUUCACCGAAAAGCACGCGAUGGGAAAUUCCAGAUGACAUAAUUUAUUAUGUAUAUUUUGAAACAAGAAUGAAAGAUUGUGGGAAAAACCAAAAAUUGGAAAUUUAUUAUGGUUUUAGACCAAAUUUACCCUUUCUAAUAUAUGAAAUCCAUUAAUAUAAUUUCUGUAGGACUAAAUGUCAAUCUCGCAGGCAUGUGUCUUUUUGAUUUUUUCUUCAAAAAGCUAUUAAUUUGAUUUCAUUAUAUCCAACACUCCAGAAUCCAGCUUUAUUGGAGGUUGUUUAUUGUUAGUUACAUCCCAUCAAACUUGAACUAUCUGUUAUUGUUUUAACUCCAAACAUUAAUCCUUGAUUGCAGUGAGUAUGAUUCUAAAGCCAUGGCAGAGAUAGAGGAGCUUCUUCUUCUUCUUCUUCUUUUUUUUUUUUUUAAAACCUCUUUUCAUAUGCUUUGUAGGAUGGAAAAUAUACUAGAUAUUUUUACAUGUUGCAUGCAUAUCUUUUUCUACUUUUGCAUCAACUAAUCUAGUGGGCUAUUUUCUUGCCCAAGGCCCAGUAAAGCCAUUGGGCCUAUCGAAGGAGCUUUUAGGCCGCAACAUAUACUACUAGUUAAAAGUUAACAACUUAGAAUAUUUCUGCUAUUUCUAAUUUUUAUGUAGUGGGUGCAAAUUAGAAUAUUUCUGCUAUUAAACAAAAAAAUGAGAGAAUAGAAAAAGUAGGACAUAUUUAAUACAAAAAUAAGAAGAAAAAUCUAGCACUUUUCGUAUUAAUUACAAUAAAUUAAAUAAAAAGAAAACUAUCAUUUUAUAAUAUUGUUUCCUAUUCAAAAUUAAAUAAAAUGUAUAUAUAGUAAUAUCUUGUAUAUUUAAUACAUUUUUGUCUUCUACUUUACAAUAUCUUAUUCACUAAACUUAUGCCGUAACUGCAAAUAAUUAUAAUAGUGCAAACAACUAAUUUUCUUUACUCUUACAUUACUAAUACUGCAUGUUUACUUCUAUAAAAUUAAUAAUAAUAAAAUAAAUACAAUAACUGAAAUUUAAUUUUAUAAAAAAUAAAUUCAUGAAACAAUCUGAUACAAGUAUUAAUUAGUUCUAUUCAUAUUUUUUUAAUAGGAGAAACAAAUAUUUUGAAAUCUGUUUAACGGUGAAUUUCAACCUGACAUACUUGACCUCAAACAACCAACAUUUUACAUUAAGUCAUGGAUAGAUCACUCAAACCUUACUUUAUAUCAAUUUAAUGAACUUGCUCAAUUCAUUUAUGGCCCAACCUUAAAUAUAUACUCCAUUUUGAAUAGUUGAGAUGGAUUGAUAACCUUUCAAUUUCAAACCAAGAAUCCAAUAUUCCUAUUUUAUUCUAAUUCAUUAAAUUUAAUAAGACAGAGAAACUCUCCUAACCCAAAGAGAAUUAAAGCAGUUGUGUGUUGUUUAUAUUUUGCUUAUAGCUGAUGGGGGUACCUACCUAUCAUUAUUACAUUAAUUAUUACAUUAAUGUCACAAUUAAUGCAUAAAAAAGUCGAUGCCUCGGUAUUAUUAUGUCAAUACUGCACAUAUUUCCUUAUCCUCAAAAUUCUGUAGAUUUUCUUAGUUAGAAUUAAGUAAAAUGGAAAUAGAAAAAGAGUACCUUAUCUAGAAUGAAAGGCUGUAAAGGUAUCAUAUUUUUAUACUAUAUAUUAAUACGUUUACCACAUUGUUAAAACAUUAAAUAAAUAUUAUAUUUACAAUUUUUUAUAUCAAACCUACCCACCAAACCAUUUAUAAGCUACUAGUCAAAGUCAAAGUCUUUUAAAAACUGUCGGCAAAGAUUGAAAUAUAAAAAAUGGAAAAAGAAAUCCUUAUACAGAAUGAAAGGCUGUAAACUCUUCCAGCUUGCAUCACUCAUCCAAUUCUACUGCUUUGCUAUCUUUCUCACUCAAUUUCUCUCUCUAAGAUAUCAGCACAAAAGAAUGGAAGGAGAAGCUGCUGCCGCCGUUCUUCAAGUUCUAGUUCAAAAUGUCAUCGACCUUUGCAAGAAAGAGAUCUCUCAGAUCCGAGAUCUCCACAAAAAUGCAGCAAAGCUAACUAAGAGUCUCAAAACCAUCCAAAAAUUCUUGAACGACGCUGAGACGCGUAACAUCACCAGCGAAGCUGUCAAGGAGUGGCUGAAGAAUCUUGAAGACGUGGCUUUCGAUGCUGACGAUGUUUUGGAUGAACUCAACUAUCAUAUUCUCUCUGACCAGAUCAAGCCCGCCGAGCAUGAGGAGGAAAAGGUACCAUCAUGCUUCUCACGCCUCUCAUGCUUCUCAUGCUGCAAGAAUCUUUCACAUUCUCGAAAUAUGGCUGUUAGAAUCAAAAAACUCAAUGAGAAUUUGGAGUCCCUUCACAAAGAGGGAGCUGGGCUUGGCCUCGUAGAGAAACUUGCCGAUGAGCCCAAAACUUAUUUGGAAACUGAUUCAUACACUCUUGAUCCAAUUUUUAUUGGAAGAGGUAAUGUUGAGUCGGAAAUAGUUGGGAUGAUUACCAAUAGCAUCACAACUGAUGAACGCGCAGUUUCCAUCAUUUCCAUUGUCGGGAUGGGGGGAUUGGGGAAGACGACAUUGACUAGGAAAGUCUUCAAUCAUCUGAAGGAUGAGAAUCAGUUUGGAUCACAUAUUUGGGUGCAUGUUUCCCGAAAUUUUGAUGCAAUAACUCUUUUGAAGACAAUUCUCAAGAACUUGACUUCUUGUCAAGUUGAAAAUGCGAGCAAGGAAGAUAUUCUUGCAAAGCUUAAAGAAGCUUUGGAAGAUAAAACGUAUCUUCUUGUACUUGAUGAUGUAUGGAAUGAAGAUACUUCCAAAUGGGAAGAUUUUAUCAAUUCCUUGUUGGGAGUUAGUUCUGUUAAGGGAAAUGCAAUUGUUGUUACCACCAGAAGUAUGAAGGUUACUUCAAUUGUGAAUCCACUUCAUACAUAUGAGUUGAAAGGCUUAUCGGAGGAAGAGUGUUGGUCAAUAAUCAAAGUAAAAACCUUCGGAAAAGAAGAUGUUCCGUCAGAAUUUGAGGCAAUUGGGAGAAAGAUUGCAAGAAGAUGUCGAGGUUUGCCAUUAGCUGCCAACGUUGUUGGGGGAGUGCUGCGGAAUAAAGAUGAAGAAAAAUGGCUUUCAAUCGAGGACAAAUGGCUUUCACCGGAUGAAGGAAGAGAUGAUAUCACAAAUAUAUUGAGACUGAGCUUCGAUAAUUUGUCUUUGCCGUCACUUAAGAAGUGCUUUGCCUACUGUGCGAUGUAUCCUAAAGGCUGCAAAAUCAUGAAACAGGAACUGAUUGAGUUCUGGAUGGCAGAAGGUUUUCUUCAAGCUGAUGAAAGGGAUGACAUGGAGUCCGUGGGGGAAAAAUUUAUCAACGUUCUUCUUCACAACUCUUUACUGCAAGUUUCAUGGAGAGAUGAUGACGGAAGUGUAAUAAGUUGUGGCAUGCACGAUCUUGUGCACGAUCUCGCUUGUUCGGUUUCAAGUUCCUCUAACAGUACAAGUGGUAGCAGCCGAGUUCGAUACAUGAUUGUCGGAGACAAUUAUUGGGAGGAAUCAAGUGGUAUCCCAAAAGAAAUGGCAAAAUCUUUGCGUACAUUGCUAUUCGAAGGUGAUAUUUCUGAUAUCAACUUCUCAGACUUGGAAAGUUUGCAUGUUUUACGUCUUGGCGACUAUAGAGUUGAAGAGUUGCCCAGUUCGAUUCAAAAGUUGAUACAUUUGAGAGAUUUUGACAAUUAAAAAACAAGAAUUNNNNNNNNNNNNNNNNNNNNNNNNNNNNNNNNNNNNNNNNNNNNNNNNNNNNNNNNNNNNNNNNNNNNNNNNNNNNNNNNNNNNNNNNNNNNNNNNNNNNNNNNNNNNNNNNNNNNNNNNNNNNNNNNNNNNNNNNNNNNNNNNNNNNNNNNNNNNNNNNNNNNNNNNNNNNNNNNNNNNNNNNNNNNNNNNNNNNNNNNNNNNNNNNNNNNNNNNNNNNNNNNNNNNNNNNNNNNNNNNNNNNNNNNNNNNNNNNNNNNNNNNNNNNNNNNNNNNNNNNNNNNNNNNNNNNNNNNNNNNNNNNNNNNNNNNNNNNNNNNNNNNNNNNNNNNNNNNNNNNNNNNNNNNNNNNNNNNNNNNNNNNNNNNNNNNNNNNNNNNNNNNNNNNNNNNNNNNNNNNNNNNNNNNNNNNNNNNNNNNNNNNNNNNNNNNNNNNNNNNNNNNNNNNNNNNNNNNNNNNNNNNNNNNNNNNNNNNNNNNNNNNNNNNNNNNNNNNNNNNNNNNNNNNNNNNNNNNNNNNNNNNNNNNNNNNNNNNNNNNNNNNNNNNNNNNNNNNNNNNNNNNNNNNNNNNNNNNNNNNUUUUUCCAGACUACUCGAGAAGUUCGAAUUGCGUGCAAUGCUCAAGUUGGAAAAGUGGGCAGAAAUAGAAAUUUCGGGUGGAAGUGAAGUGAAGGUAUUUCCUUGCCUCCAACAUUUGGAAAUUAGGUGGUGUGAGCGAUUGAUGAAUGUUCCAAGUUUGGGGCAGUUGCCCAAUCUCAAGUCCCUUGAGUUAAAAGGAUUGGGAAAUUUGAAGUGUAUAAAUUCUUCAUUCUACGGAAUGGUGAACAAGGACACACGCAUUGUUUUUCCAGCUCUCGAGACCUUCGAAUUGUCAUUCAUGGAUAAGCUGGCAGAGUGGGCAGAAAUAGAAAUUUCGGAUGGAAGUGAAGUGAAGCUAUUUCCUCGCCUAAAAAAUUUGGCAAUUGAUAACUGCUUGCAAUUGAUGAGUGUUCCAAGUCAUGUCUCGUCAUGCCUUGAAUAUUUGUUAAUUCAUAGGAUCGGUGUGGAAUGUCUGCCAGCUGAUUGGUUAUUGAGUAACAGCGAGACUCUCUCUCUGUUGGUAAUAGACGACUGCCCGAAUUUGAGAGAAAUAUCAGAUAGGUGGGGAGAAGAAGAAUCAGAAGGAAGAAGCUUCACAAUCACAUCCCUCCCUAUAUUCCCUCGUCUAACAGCUUUGAGAAUUGAAGACGUUCCUAAGUUAAGUUUGGAGACUGUGGAUGAAAUGCGGCGCCUCCAAAUUCAUGGAUACAAAGAAAUUGACCAUGACGGUAAAGGUGAGUAUCAAAUAUCUUUUAUAGAAACAGUUGCAUGUGUAUUUCAUUUGAAAAAAUUCGAAUUAUCAAAAAUUGAAGUAGCCUAGUAAAAUCUACUAUUAUCUUAUUCUAUGGAGUUUCUAAUUCAAUUGCUAUUAGUUUGGGGAUCGAGAUUUAGCGCACCACAUGUGUCACUUUCAAUUUUAUUUAUAUUUUUAUAUAUUUUCUCUAAUUUCAACUUUGAAUGCUUUAGUUUAAUUUUGUGAUUAUUAAUUAGAGUUCAUUCCAUCUAAUUACGGUAUAUAAUUAUUUUUUAUCAUUUAAUUUCACUUUUAUUUGUUAAUAAUAGGGUAUAUAUUUUUAUAAAAAAAAUACUUUUUUUGAAAUAAUAAUUAAGAAUAAUUCAUAGUAUUACAAUUUAUUUUUAUAAAAAAUAUUAUUAAAAUAUAUAAGAAUGAAAUAUAGUGACAUACAUAAAAUUGUGGGGCUUAGUUUGGUGUUCCACUUCAUCUCAAUCUAUACUAAUAGAAAAAGAGCCUAAGGCAGUCUAAGACACAACUUGUGGAUUGCCUAUUUUAUCCAUGUUAUAUAUUUAUUAUUAUAUAUAUAUAAAAUAUAAAUCUAUUUUGACAUACAUUUAUAAAUCACCCAAAUCUAUGAAGAAUACUUUAUAUCUAUAGCUAUUGAUAAGGCUUAUAAAUAAAUAUAUCCAUCCAAUAAAUUAUCUAUAAAAGUAAUGAAUUAUAGAUUUUUUCAUAUGUGUUUUGACCUCCCAAAGUCCCGGAAGAAGGGGUACAAUUAAGUCCCCCCUUGUAUGUUACACCUGCCUUAGGAGUUUUUUUUUUAUUUUUUUUUUUUUUUUUUAAGGGCUUCGUUAAUUCACCUUUUUUCCGGGACUUUUGGGAGGUCAACGCGCUUUGACCGACUUUGGGGGGAAAAGUCUAGGGGGGUGUACUACAGGGGGGAAUCUGCACCUUUGCCCUUAUAUAUAUAAAAUAUAAAUCUAUUUUGAUAUACAUUUAUUUGUCGCCCAAAUCUAUGAAGAAUACUUUAUAUCUAUAGCUUCUGAUAAGGCUUAUACAUAAAUAUAUCUAUCUAAUAAAUUAUCUAAUAAAAAUCGAUAUGAAUAUUCUUUGUUUAACUUUAGUUGAUAGGAUUAUUAUGUCGAGGGUUGAAGAAGAUGCAUGUUUGGAUACCAAUUUGUUUCACAAUCGAUAUGAUUCUCAAAGACUCAAACUUCAUUGAUCAUUAUAAGGAAUUAUUUUGAGUAGAUCACUUCUAAACUAAGGAUUCACAACACUAUUUAUGCCCAUAGACACAAAAGUGGUAUUACUUUUCUUGGCUAAUGUGAAUCUUGUACCUCAUUUCUUGUCUACUUUUCAGGUGGAUUUGGAGGGGCAUUUUGAGUAACUGUCAAGCUCUUAUUGAGCCAUUUUGAGCUUUGUUAUAGAUUUUCUAAUAGAAUCAAAUAAGCUUCAAAAUGACAUGAGGAUAUAUAAAUGUCAAUCUCUCAGGCAUGUGUCUAUUGUUCUGUUUUUAUGAUCUUUUCUUCAGAAAGCUAUUAAUUUGAUUUCAUAAUAUCCAACACUCCAGAGUCCAGCCUUAUUGCAUGUUGUUUAUUGUUAGUUACAUCCCAUCAAAGUUGAACUAUCUGUUAUUGUUUUAACUCCAAACAUUAAUCCUUGAUUGCAGUGAGUAUGAUUCUAAAGCCAUGGCAGAGAUAGGGGAGCUUCUGAGGAGCAUGGAGACAAGGCGGAAGAAUAAGAAUGAUGACAGUGUAGUUGUUGAGUCUGAAGAGAAGGAUGAUGACAAAAAUUCAGACAACAAUGUUGAAGAUGAAGAUAGUGAAACAGAGGAUUCAGCAGCUGUGGAAGUUGAACCCAAUCCCAGCAACACCAAUGAAAGAAUGUUGAGCAUAUCAUAUAACACAGCAAAGUUUCAAUUUGCAUCACCAUUUGAAUCUUGCAAGUAAGUUCUAACUGGCAGGACAGGAUAUUUGGUUUUACUUUAUCAAUUGCAUGUUUUUCCUUGUUUUUAUAAACAGAUGAAAGUAGUAACAAGACUUCAUUUUGCAUAGACGAAAGUAGUAAUGAAACUACAAUUUGAAUUUUCUGGGCAGAGCACUUUUUCUUUCUUGCUUUUCUUUUCCUUUAUUUUGGUGUGUUUCUAGUUCUAUUUUAAUUUGAGCUUUUAAUACAGCCUUGAGAAUGCUUUAAAGGGAAGUUUGAUUUAGUGGAUAAGAUAGAUAAGAAUGGUAUGAGUAGAGGAUGUUUAAAUAAUCCAUCCAACUUCGUGGCGAUAAAUAAGCAGAGAGCAUCAUAUCAAUUAAUGCAUCAU